AAAACCUUUAAUCAGGUCCAGAGAGACCUGCAAGGCUUUAGAUACUUUUGGUGAAGUGUACACUUUUACCCUCAUUUUCUAGAACCAAGCGGUCGCUCAGAUCGCUUGGUUUUUUGUA
rfam:Leuconostoc mesenteroides subsp. mesenteroides ATCC 8293, complete genome.